CCUACGGGGGGCAGCAGUGGGGAAUAUUGGGCAAUGGGCGCAAGCCUGACCCAGCAACGCCGCGUGAAGGAAGAAGGCUUUCGGGUUGUAAACUUCUUUUAAGAGGGAAGAGCAGAAGACGGUACCUCUUGAAUAAGCCACGGCUAACUACGUGCCAGCAGCCGCGGUAAUACGUAGGUGGCAAGCGUUGUCCGGAUUUACUGGGUGUAAAGGGCGUGUAGCCGGGCUGACAAGUCAGAUGUGAAAUUCCGGGGCUCAACCCCGGACCUGCAUUUGAGACUGUUGGUCUUGGGUAUCGGAGAGGCAGGCGGAGUUCCUGGGGUAGCGGUGAAGUGCGUAGUUAUUAGGAGGAACACCAGUGGCGAGGGCGGCCUGCUGGACGCCAACUGACGGUGAGGCGCGAAAGCGUGGGGAGCAAACAGGAUUAGGUACCCGUUAGUC
rnacentral:rRNA from 1 species